UACGUAGGGGGCGAGCGUUGUCCGAAGUUACUGGGCGUAAAGCGCGCGUAGGCGGCUCAUUAAGUCUGGGGUGAAAGGUUCAGCGCUCAACGCGAACAGUGCCUUGGAUACUGGUGAGCUUGAGUCUGGGAGGGGGCAGUGGAAUUCCUGGUGUAGCGGUGAAAUGCGCAGAUAUCAGGAGGAACACCGGUGGCGAAGGCGGGUCUCUGGGCCGAUACUGACGCUGAGGAGCGAAAGCGUGGGGAGCGAACAGG
rnacentral:rRNA from 1 species